GAUGAACGCUGGCGGCGUGCCUAAUACAUGCAAGUCGAACGAACAGACGAGGAGCUUGCUCCUCUGACGUUAGCGGCGGACGAGUGAGUAACACGUGGAUCACCUACCUAUAAGACUGGGAUAACUUCGGGAAACGGGAGCUAAUACCGGAUAAUAUAUUGAACCGCAUGGUUCAAUAGUGAAAGACGGUUUUGCUGUCACUUCUAGAUGGAUCCGCGCCGCUUUAGCUAGUUGGUAAGGUAACGGCUUACCAAGGCAACGAUGCGUAUCCGAACUGAGAGGCGGGUAGGCUCCCUGAGAAUGGAGACACGCACAAUACGCCUACGGGACGCAGCAGUCUGGAACGGUCCGCAACGGGCGAAAGUCUGACGCAGCAACGCCGCGUCAGUGAUGAAGGUCUUCGGAUCGUAAUACUCUGUUAUUAGGUAAGAACAAAUUUGUAAUUAACUAUGCACGUCGUGACGGUAACUAAUCAGAAAGCCACGGCUAACUACGUG
rnacentral:rRNA from 1 species